rnacentral:piRNA from 1 species
AAGCAGGGAGAUAGGCCAGUAUGGUGUCA